ACUGUAAUGAAAACCAUCUGAUGACAGGUUCUCCAAAUCAAUCAAAAGAAAGUUGUAUGCAUCUGGGAUCAUCCUAAUAUAAGAUCUAUUCCAUGAUUGUCCUUACCAGCAACCUCAUAAACUAAAAUAUUAUUAAUCUAAAGGCAGAUAAGAAUAAUAGCAGAAUUCAAGGGACCAAAAUGCAAAAUAUUCAAAUAAGUGGAGACAAAAAUAUUCAAUAACAAUCGAAAGGCUUGUGUCAUGAGAAGACAGAAAAAUCCAUACCUUAAUCCAGAAACAGUGUGCCG
rnacentral:misc_RNA from 1 species